rnacentral:rRNA from 1 species
UACGGAGGGGGCUAGCGUUGUUCGGAAUUACUGGGCGUAAAGCGCGCGUAGGCGGACCUGUAAGUCGGGGGUGAAAGCCCGAGGCUCAGCCUCGGAACUGCCUUCGAUACUGCGGGUCUCGAGUCCGGGAGAGGUGAGUGGAAUUCCUAGUGUAGAGGUGAAAUUCGUAGAUAUUAGGAAGAACACCAGUGGCGAAGGCGGCUCACUGGCCCGGUACUGACGCUGAGGCGCGAAAGCGUGGGGAGCAAACAGG